GAAUUCGCCCUUAGAGUUUGAUCCUGGCUCAGGACGAACGCUGGCGGCGCGCCUAACACAUGCAAGUCGAACGAGCGAGAGAGAGCUUGCUUUCUCGAGCGAGUGGCGAACGGGUGAGUAACGCGUGAGGAACCUGCCUCAAAGAGGGGGACAACAGUUGGAAACGACUGCUAAUACCGCAUAAGCCCACGACCCGGCAUCGGGAAGAGGGAAAAGGAGCAAUCCGCUUUGAGAUGGCCUCGCGUCCGAUUAGCUAGUUGGUGAGGUAACGGCCCACCAAGGCAACGAUCGGUAGCCGGACUGAGAGGUUGAACGGCCACAUUGGGACUGAGACACGGCCCAGACUCCUACGGGAGGCAGCAGUGGGGAAUAUUGCACAAUGGGGGAAACCCUGAUGCAGCGACGCCGCGUGGAGGAAGAAGGUCUUCGGAUUGUAAACUCCUGUUGUUGAGGAAGAUAAUGACGGUACUCAACAAGGAAGUGACGGCUAACUACGUGCCAGCAGCCGCGGUAAAACGUAGGUCACAAGCGUUGUCCGGAAUUACUGGGUGUAAAGGGAGCGCAGGCGGGAAGACAAGUUGGAAGUGAAAUCCAUGGGCUCAACCCAUGAACUGCUUUCAAAACUGUUUUUCUUGAGUAGUGCAGAGGUAGGCGGAAUUCCCGGUGUAGCGGUGGAAUGCGUAGAUAUCGGGAGGAACACCAGUGGCGAAGGCGGCCUACUGGGCACCAACUGACGCUGAGGCUCGAAAGUGUGGGUAGCAAACAGGAUUAGAUACCCUGGUAGUCCACACUGUAAACGAUGAUUACUAGGUGUUGGAGGAUUGACCCCUUCAGUGCCGCAGUUAACACAAUAAGUAAUCCACCUGGGGAGUACGACCGCAAGGUUGAAACUCAAAGGAAUUGACGGGGGCCCGCACAAGCAGUGGAGUAUGUGGUUUAAUUCGACGCAACGCGAAGAACCUUACCAAGUCUUGACAUCCUGCGACGGACAUAGAAAUAUGUUUUUCCUUCGGGACGCAGAGACAGGUGGUGCAUGGUUGUCGUCAGCUCGUGUCGUGAGAUGUUGGGUUAAGUCCCGCAACGAGCGCAACCCCUAUCCUCAGUAGCCAGCAUUUAAGGUGGGCACUCUGGGGAGACUACCAGGGAUAACCUGGAGGAAGGCGGGGAUGACGUCAAAUCAUCAUGCCCCUUAUGAUUUGGGCUACACACGUGCUACAAUGGCGUAAACAAAGGGAAGCGAGAUUGUGAGAUGGAGCAAAUCCCAAAAAUAACGUCCCAGUUCGGACUGUAGUCUGCAACCCGACUACACGAAGCUGGAAUCGCUAGUAAUCGCGGAUCAGAAUGCCGCGGUGAAUACGUUCCCGGGCCUUGUACUCACCGCCCGUCA
rnacentral:rRNA from 1 species